rnacentral:misc_RNA from 1 species
GAGUCAGUUAAGCUUCUGAUUGAAUAUCAUAAUCAGUAUGAUGAUAAGUAGUAGGCUGGAUCAUUGAAUGCCACAACAUAAUCUCCUUUAUAUUGGAUCUAACGAUCAAGUAAGCAACAUCAUGCCUCCUUCAUACUCAUUUAAAUAACUCGUUAAGAAAAAUUCAGAUUUUUGUACAACUCGGUAAAUUUCCACGACACAACUCGCACAAAGUUCGGCACUAAGGAUUCAACAUAUAGAUUGAUGUUCACAAGAAGAGUCCAGCUUCGCAGGAUAGUUCUUUCACUCGUGAAACAAAAACGAAAAACCUUGAUUCAUCAUGUAAAUUUCCACAACACAACUCGCACAAAGUUCGGCACUAAGGAUUCAACAUAUAGAUUGAUGUUCACAAGAAGAGUCCAGCUUCGCAGGAUAGUUCUUUCACUCGUGAAACAAAAACGAAAAACCUUGAUUCAUCAU